UGUGUAUACUUGCCUGGAAGCCUAAUCACUAACCAGUAUAAAGGUUAAUGAAACAUAAUUUUAUUUUAUUAAUUGGUGACUUCUUACUAGCAAAUGUAAUGCUUGUUUAUACAGAAAGGCUUGAAAAGUGAUAGUCAUAAUAGUUUUUAUUAAACUUAUCUUUGGUCCUAUUUUCAAGAUAAAUUUACACAGAAAACUCUUGUAGUAGUAGUAGUAUUAUAGUAGAAAACCAUUAGUGGUUCUGGAUUAGACAUAGUGCUUUACAAUUUGAGUUUGUAAUAUUAAAUUCCACUCCAGGAAUAUUUAUACAGGUGCUUUUUUUUUUUUUUUUUUUCCUUGCAGGUGAUGUUUUCAGUGGUAUUUUAGAAAUCACUUUACAGGAAUUGCCAGUUUUGGUACAAUUAAAAAGAUAGAAUUGUCUUAUGACAUGUAUUAAAAUAAUUAAAACUCUUUUUGCUUUAAGGAAAUUAACAGUAGAGGAAAAUUACCGGUUAGAGAAAGAAGAAAAACUUUCUAAAGUAGACGAAAAGAUCAGCCAUGCCACUGAAGAGCUGGAGACCUAUAGAAAGCGAGCCAAAGAUCUUGAAGAAGAAUUGGAGAGAACUAUUCAUUCUUAUCAAGGGCAGAUUAUUUCCCAUGAGAAAAAAGCACAUGAUAAUUGGGUAAGUUUUAAAUUUCCUUGUCUCUUUUGUUAAAUUGUACUUUUUUUUUUACAUAAGAUAUGCUGCUCAUUUA